UACGUAGGGGUCGAGCGUUGUCCGGAGUUAUUGGGCGUAAAGCGCGCGCAGGUGGCUCGUUGCGCCCGGCGUGAAAGCCCCCGGCUUAACCGGGGAAGGUCGUCGGGGACGGGCGAGCUUGAGGGCGGCAGGGGCCGGUGGAACUCCCGGUGUAGUGGUGAAAUGCGUAGAGAUCGGGAAGAACACCCGUGGCGAAGGCGGCCGGCUGGGCCGACCCUGACACUGAGGCGCGAAGGCGUGGGGAGCGAACGGG
rnacentral:rRNA from 1 species